UCCUGUUUAGCUCAGUUGAUAGAGCGCAUCACUUGUAGUGAUGAGGUCAGUCAUUCGAGUCGGCUAAUGGGAA
rnacentral:tRNA from 1 species